rnacentral:rRNA from 1 species
UACGUAGGGGGCAAGCGUUGUCCGGAAUCAUUGGGCGUAAAGAGCGUGUAGGCGGCCAGAUAAGUCCGCUGUGAAAUCUCGAGGCUCAACUUCGAGCUGUCGGUGGAAACUGUCUGGCUAGAGUCCGGAAGAGGAGAAUGGAAUUCCUGGUGUAGCGGUGAAAUGCGUAGAUAUCGGGAGGAACACCUGUGGCGAAAGCGGCUCACUGGACCAUAACUGACGCUGAGGCGCGAAAGCUAGGGGAGCAAACAGG